rnacentral:misc_RNA from 1 species
GAUGAAGAACGUAGCGAAAUGCGAUAAGUAAUGUGAAUUGCAGAAUUCAGUGAAUCAUCGAAUCUUUGAACGCACAUUGCGCCCGCUGGUAUUCCGGCGGGCAUGCCUGUUCGAGCGUCAUUUGUACCUUCAAGCUCUGCUUGGUGUUGGGUGUUUGUCUCGCCUCUGCGUGUAGACUCGCCUCAAAACAAUUGGCAGCCGGCGUAUUGAUUUCGGAGCGCAGUACAUCUCGCGCUUUGCACUCAUAACGACGACGUCCAAAAGUACAUUUUUACACUCUUGACCUCGGAUCAGGUAGGGAUACCCGCUGAACUUAAGCAUAUCAAUAAGCGGAGGA